rnacentral:lncRNA from 10 species
CCCCCACCACUUCCUACUUGGGUGUCUCUGGGCAGUUACUUUAACCUCUCUGGGCCUCAGUCUCCAUAUCUGUAAAAUAGCGCACAUAACGGCACUUGCACUGACGGUAGGGUUGCUGUGAGGUCUAAUGACAGUGCAUGAGCAAACCGGCAAUUCACUGGCAUUCGCUUGUCCUUCCUCCCUCACUCCCUCCUCCCAUCGUUUCCUCCUGCCUCCUGUCUUUAUCUCACCUGAUUAGACUAUAUUUCAUCUGUGUCUUUUUUCUAGCGUUUCACGCCCCGAUGCCUGGAAUCUUGCUUGGCACAGAGUGGGAGCUCAAUGAAUACGUACUGAAUGGAUGACCUCACUGGAGUCCUGAGCAGACGGAAAGCGCCACAUCAGGAGGUGGGAGACACCCGGAGCAGAGAAACAAGGAUAAAGCACAAAUCCACAGAGGUCUGGCGAUGCUCCUGCUGGGAGAGAGAGUCUAGGGCUGUGCCAGACUCACUGGGAAAGAGCCCAGUUUCUGCUGAGGGUGCUAAGUUGGAGGAUGGAAGCCUGGCUGCUGGGGACCCCCUUGCCACUACCUGAAGGGCCAGUCUGAGAACUCCACCGACACAGAGGGAAGCAGGGCUGAGAGACCAAGAGGAGGCACCCUUGUGACACUGUAAGAGCCCCUGGAUGCAGCUGUGCCUGAAGCCAUCUUGUGAAUGUGGAACAGCAAACCAGACAUUUUGUUUCUUUGUUCUUAGUUUUGUUCUAGUCCUUGAUUUGGGUUCUUGCAACCAAAAGGCCAAGGAAUAAUUCAAGGAAACACCUGGCAUGGCACAGGUCAGCAUUAAUUCCAACACUCAGGGGCCUAGGGCUGAGCAGUGGAGGUGAGGAGAGGACUGGAGAGGAGAGAGAGAUGAGAGGAAAGGAGAGAAACGAGAGCCCCAUGCCCUUCCUACUUGCAUCCUCAAGGUGCUGGAGUGCCACCAUCUGUGAUUUGAGGAGCUGGGGCUGGGGUCCGGGCACUGCAGGGAGGGGCCCUCCAUUCUCAUCAGCUCCUUUCCCCUCCCGGAGGUGAGCAGACAUCCUCCGAGGGGACCCAGGAUCCUGAUGUGGAGUGUGUCCAGGGGAGCUUAUGAGAGUGCAGGGAAGGGACCCCAGACGUCUGCCUCCAACUGUUGCCCUGUUCUCUGUGCCAACAGCCCACCCAGGGCAGCAGCCUUGUGGAAUCUUCUUCCCACUCACACCUGGAGGAAACGCCCCAUGGAGAUACGGGCAGAGCCUGGUAUUUGGCACCAAACACACCUGAGUGCCUGAUACCCUCUGUCUCUCACUGGCUGUGUGACCCCAGGCCGGUCACCUCACGCUCCCAGCCUCAGUUUUCUGGUCUGUGGAAUGGGGGUAAUGGUAAUGCAGAUCCCACAGAAUUAAGGGAGUCAACCUGUAUAAAUGUGCCUGGUACACAGCAGGUGCUUGGAAUGUGUGUCCUAAUCCUUCCCUCCUGUCAGGAGGCCUGGUGGGUGCAGGAAUGACACCUGAGUCCUCAUCACCCUUGGUCAGUUAAAUGAGGUGGCUCAGAGAGUGAAAUGCAACUCCUGGCCUGUUUUCAGGACUCAAUAACCAUUCAUCGUCAUCAUCAUCAUCAUCACCACCAUCACCAUCAUCACCAUUGUGAUUGUUAUGGGUUGUGGAGGCGCACACCUGACAUGCUGACUUGGGGAGAUCUGGGCGCUGAUCAGAAGCAUGUUUACCUGAGGUGCUCAUAGCCUGUGAUGGUCAGGGAGGGCCUCUUGGAAGAGGAAGACCUGAAGUGGCAUCCGAAGUUCGUGGGGGCUUAGGUGAGGUAGGGAGUGCUGAAGAACAAUAGUGCUAACACACAUGCAGCUGCUGCUUGUCGAUGCGUUCACUGUGGGCAGCUGGGGUCUGGGCGCUCGAGGUGCCUGAGCUCACUCAGCCCCCACAGCCCCAGGAAGUUGGUGCAAUUUUGAUCAUCCAGGUUACUGAUGAGGUAACCGAGUGGCAGAGAGGUUAGUAACUUGCCCAAGGUCACUCAGAGAUGAAAUGGCAAAGUGGGGAUUUGAGUCCAGGCAGCCAUACUGCAGAGCCUACCCUCCUGACCCUACACUGUGCCGUCUCUAUAACUUUAUAAACAGUAACCAUAAUCCUAAGAUUGUCUGACCUGUAUUGCUCAUCUACGUUCCAGGCACUUUAUACUCAUGAUCUCAUUUGUCCUUGUAACAGCUCUGCAACGUUGGGAGAGAGUGGGGUGACCUCAGCCUCAGUGUGGAGUCCCCAGUCUGGCAGGGACACAAACUCACAGGAGCAAGGCAGGGGGUGUGAGUGAGUGAAACAGGCCAGGAGUGGGGACAACAGGGAGGAGUGGGGAUUGUGGCAAAGUGGGGAGCACAGGCCCUGUGUGGAGGGGCAGCUGCAGCUCAGCUCAGGGAUUCCCUACCAAGGGCAAAUGUCACCUGUGUUCCCACAACUUGUGAUUACUCAAGAGAAAUUGGAAAUGCAGUUCUUUAAAUGUAAAGUCUCCUUAUUUAAACAUUUUGACUACAGAUUCCACUUUUCAGUACACUUGGGGGCCAUUUCCGUGAAUGAAAUAAAACCCAUCUGGGAGUGGUUCCGCCCAUGCCAGCGCUCAUGACCUCUGAACGGUGCACUGCACCCUCCAAGGAAGGCACCCGAGGCAUCACAGUGAGGGCAAAGGUGGGAGACAAAGGAGUUUCCCCUCCUGCCUGAAAUAGGGAGGACAGGUGGCCGCACAGAUGGAAACGGGAAGGGACAGGGGCAGUCAGCCUCUGUUCCACACAGACCAGAGCUCCCAGGCGGCUGUCCGGGUUGUGGAUCCCACAGUCCUUGUCUGGAGGGAUCAGCUGUGGGAAUUCUCAGGAUGGGUGGUCCUGACCCCGGGCAAGUUCUAAGAAUUGUGGGAACAUACUUGGUCAUCACUGACAAGCAGUGGGCGGGGCCGGGGUGCUGACAUUGUGCCCUUGGUGCAUGGGAAAGUCCUUCGCAACCAGGGCCAGUGUCGGGUCCAGCCGGGCUUUCAUGUCCUGCCAGACAUUCGAGGAGGUGAAACCCGUUCCUGAGGCUCUACACCUAGAUUCUCGCUCAGUUGGGGUCUCAGUUUGGCCUCCCCAGAAGCAGACCCUGAGUCAGAUUCAAGGGCAAGUCGUCUAUUUGGGACAUGACCCAGGAACCCUGGAGUGGGUGUGGGAAGGGAAGGCAUCCCCAUAGAUACUGGGUGUGUCAACACGUCACCUCUGCAGGCAUUGGGAGCUCAGACUGCUGGGGACUGGGGAAACAGUCCAGGACCUGCGCCCGGCAGUGUCCCCGUGAGCCACAAGGCUGCUGGCGCAUUGCACACCCGCCUCCCUCCACGUGCAGUGAGGGCCGUACUCUGGGGGCGUCAGUGCCCUGGACUUCCAGCCACAGCUGCAGGGGAGAGAGGACAUGCCCAGAAUCAACCCGUGUCCUCGAAAGGAGGAGGGACAUGGUGGACAUUGUUGUGUCACCACAAAGGGUUUUCUUUUUAUCCUCUCCGUGUGAUUUUAAGAUGCACUGAAUUUUUUUUUUUUUUUUUUUUUUUUUGAGAUGGAGUUUCACUCUUGUCACCCAGGCUAGAGUGCAAUGGCGCGAUCUCUACUCACUGCAACCUCCACCUCCUGGGUUCGAUUCUCCUACCUCUGCCUCCCAAGUACUGGGAUUACAAGCAUGCGCCACCACGCCUGGCUAAUUUUCGUACUUUUAGCAGAGGUGGGGUUUUGCCAUGUUGGUCAGGCUGUCUCGAACUCCUGACCUCAGGUGAUCCACCUACCUCGGCCUCCCAAAGUGCCAGGAUUACAGGUGUGAGCCACCACACCCAGCCAAGAUGUGCUGAAUUUUUAAGGACGGCAUCAACCUUUGACAUUGAGGGAAGAUUGUCCACCUUGCGGCACACCCACCGUCGUGUUCUUGUGUUGUGAGGUUACGGCACCAAGCGUGUCAGUCUGCCUUUGCACCCCCAUGUUCACUGUCCUCUUGUGCUUAGGUGUGAACACCCCACGGCUUCAUUUCAGCGUGGUCAUGCUCACAGAUGUACAUAUAGAAAACAUUUUAUCAUAUAAUAAAUAACAUUUGAUUCGAAUUGCUGUCAUUUCACUGUUUAGCAUGUUUGGGCAUUUACUGACCUUUAUAAAAUAACUUGUCUGGCUAGGUUACAGUAUUUUAUGACUCUUUU